GGAGGGGUUCCCGAGCUGGCCAAAGGGGGCAGACUGUAAAUCUGCUGGCGACGCCUUCACAGGUUCGAAUCCUGUCCCCUCCACCA
rnacentral:tRNA from 1 species